GGAGGGAAACAGCACAUGCUUAGCAUGCAUGAGGUUCUGGGUUCAAUCCCCAGUUUCUCCA
rnacentral:tRNA from 1 species